rnacentral:rRNA from 1 species
UACGUAGGGCGCAAGCGUUGUCCGGAUUUAUUGGGCGUAAAGAGCUCGUAGGCGGUCUGUCGCGUCUGCUGUGAAAUCUGGGGGCUCAACCCCCAGCCUGCAGUGGGUACGGGCAGACUAGAGUGCGGUAGGGGAGAUUGGAACUCCUGGUGUAGCGGUGGAAUGCGCAGAUAUCAGGAAGAACACCGAUGGCGAAGGCAGAUCUCUGGGCCGUAACUGACGCUGAGGAGCGAAAGCAUGGGGAGCGAACAGG